rnacentral:rRNA from 1 species
AGAGUUUGAUCCUGGCUCAGAUUGAACGCUGGCGGCAUGCUUUACACAUGCAAGUCGGACGGCAGCACAGAGAAGCUUGCUUCUUGGGUGGCGAGUGGCGAACGGGUGAGUAACAUAUCGGAACGUACCGAGCAGUGGGGGAUAACUAAUCGAAAGAUUAGCUAAUACCGCAUAUAUUCUGAGGAAGAAAGCAGGGGACCAUUUGGCCUUGCGCUGUUUGAGCGGCCGAUAUCUGAUUAGCUAGUUGGUGGGGUAAAGGCCUACCAAGGCGACGAUCAGUAGCGGGCCUGAGAGGAUGAUCCGCCACACUGGGACUGAGACACGGCCCAGACUCCUACGGGAGGCAGCAGUGGGGAAUUUUGGACAAUGGGCGCAAGCCUGAUCCAGCCAUGCCGCGUGUCUGAAGAAGGCCUUCGGGUUGUAAAGGACUUUUGUCAGGGAAGAAAAGGGCGGGGUUAAUACCCCUGUCUGAUGACGGUACCUGAAGAAUAAGCACCGGCUAACUACGUGCCA